CCUAGGUGGGGUGGGGAGGGGGGAGCCACAACAACAUUUGGAUUCCACCUGGGAGGCAAUCGGGAAGCAGUACAGGGCUUGGAGCAGAGAAGCAGAUCUCAUCACAAAGAAGGGGGGACCUUCUGACCGUAGUCCUCAGGAUGAACUGGAGGGAGGAGAGAAUGGAGGCAGGAUGGCCUAAGAGGAGGUGAUGGCAUCUUCCCAGCUGGACUUCUUGUGGGGCUGGACAGGGCAAAUCAAGUAGAGGCAGGGCCAGACUUGUGGAGGAAGGGUGCAAGAGGAAAGAGUCCAAGACAGCCCUUGGGCAUCAAGAUGGUCAGAGGCAUGGAACCUUUGUGGGGAUUUCAAACUGGGCACCCAGGCAGCCAGCAUUCCCUGAGACUGCCCAGGGUCCAGCACUAGUGAAGGAAGGUAGGAAGCAUUUAGUAAGUGCCUAAUAUGUGCUGAGCACUGAGCUAAGGAAUGGAGAAGACUCAUGGAAGGUUGGAGCUGCAAGGCUGAUGGAAAAGUCCCAUGCUAUUCAGGGUACAGAGGCAAAGUAGAAAGCAAUGCCCCCUCCUUGGUGUCAUUGCCACUCAACAGCUUAUGUUUCUGGAGAUGGGAACAAGGACUUUGGGCAUCAACCUUUUCCUGUAUCUUCAGUGGGGUUGUGGCUGCCUUCCCUGCAAGAGCAGUCAGUGAGCAGGCUUCAUCUCCACAGCCAGAAUAGGGCUCAGGGUGGGGAUGAACUUGCCCAGCUGUCUUCUUUCUGUCACUCCCUUCUCCCUCAGGGGUCCAGUGAAUGUUGUGGGGCUUGGGGACUGCCCCAGGUGAUUGGCAAAGCAGGGCUCAGGGAGACCUUCUCCCUGGAGAAGGUGAAAUGAAUGAGGUUUUAGGAGUUCCAAGUCAAAGGAUCAGGAGCCUGAGCUCUUGGCUAGCUCUCGGGCCCCCUUCCCUCUCUGGCACCCAUUCUCUAAAAUGAAGGGGUGGGGUGGGGAGGCAUAAGUGGACUUGAGGGUCCCCUCCUGCUCUCAAAGCUGUGAUUGGCUGAGAACUAGGAGAAGGGAAGGAGGACAAGUUUGGCUCUGGAGAGGGGAGGAGGCUACAAGCUUGAGGGUGACCAGUGGAAGGGCAACUGCAGAUGGGCUGGCAGAAGAAGCAGGGGUGCAGGGAGUGCCUCUCCUGGGGUGCAGAAGCUGGAGUGCAAAGACUGGUGUGAGCCGGUCUGCUGGGCCCACUGCUGCUCCUCAGUGAUGUUCACCUUUGUGAUGUAGAGGAAAGGGUAGGACUGCAUCUGGGAUCAGCCCAGCUGGGCUGGAAUCUCAGCUCUGCUCUACUUAGUAGUAGAGUGCCUGGGUGACCUUGGGCCAGUCCCUUACUCUCUCCAAGUUGCUUGGUUUUCUCACCAGAAACACUAAGUGAUGUCUUGGGUCCAGCUCUAGAUCUGACCUGUGCUCCAUGGUCAGCCCCCUCAGCCUUCUGGGAGCUGAUAUUGUCAGCUGGCAAAAGCCCACCCAUUCUUACACCUAGUGCAGCCUCAGCCCUGACUUUGAGGGGCUUGGGCACAGCCACCCUCACGUCCAGUGAGACGACCCUGGGCAGGAAAGAAAAACCGAACCCCAAACCUGGGCCUUUGAUUCAUGAUAAAGCCUGUGCCCCAGAUGAUGGAAGGAACAGAGCCCUGAGAGGAGAGGAGAGCCCCUGGAUGUGGUGGUCAGGCAGGGGCACUGGAGGCUCAAUAGCCUUUCUACCAGCCUGAGCUCUUUGGGAGUGGGACAUGGGCUGAGGGGUCUUCGAGUCAAGGCUGGAGGAGCCAAUUUGGCAGGCAUAGUUUGGUCUAGACAGUAACAGCAUUUAUGUGGUACUUAUGUGUGCCAGGGACCAUGCCAAAUGCUUCUCAAACAGGAUCUCAUUAGGUCCAGGAGGGAGGAGGUGUCCUGGGGAAUAGAUGGGGAAACUGAGGCAGACAGCAAGGAAGCGACUUGCCCAGCUAGGGAGUGUCUGAGGCUGGAGGUCUUCCAGAAUGGCUUGUUGCCUCUGAGCCUGAGCAAAGAGGAGUCAGGGAGCUGAGAGCCCCUGCCCCCCUCUUCCCUGGGUCACAUCCCUGUGGAAAGACACCGAAGUUCAGAGCACCGAAAACCAAACAAUCCUGAUGAAGAGCUUCACCAGCUUGAGAGAGAAUGUUGUUUUGAAUCCUGGUGGGUUUCUGGACCCUUCUACUUGAGUUUAUGGAGACAGAUGGCCCCCUCACUCCUGCCACCUAGAUGGAGAGGAAAUGACUGAGCCCAGCAAACUGGUCACCCCUGUGGGGGGGGGGCAGUUAGGUCACAAAGCCUGAAGGAUGUCACUAUGCAGAGGGGGUUCUGAGGUUGUCAUGACUGAGGGGCCCUACAUCAGACAACAUUCCUUCCCUGGGAGGCUGUGAUAGGAAUGGUGGUCUUAAAAACUCCUGCAGUGAGGGAGAUGAAAGAACAGCAGCCACACUCUCCUCCUAUGAACUCUGUGGCCAUUUUGAGACCUUUUCGACUGUCCCCUGGACAGAUUCCAGUGAGAAGACUGGAUGGCAGACCCGGACCCCAACCACUGCCUGGAGCCCACCCAAGGAUGCCUCCAUCUCAACAAGAAGCUUUCCUGGAGAUUGCAGAAGAGCAGAAGGCCCAAAGUCAUCCUCUCCCCAGAUAUUGCUCAUGGAGGAUGUUCUUUGAAGUUUUAAUGUGUUAUUUUACAUUCUUUUCUCUAAAAAUAAAAAGCUCACCCGUCCCCAAAAGAAAAAUAAAGAUCUUCUAUGGUGACUU